rnacentral:rRNA from 1 species
CCUACGUGAGGCAGCAGUGAGGAAUAUUGGUCAAUGGACGAGAGUCUGAACCAGCCAAGUCGCGUGAAGGAUGACUGCCCUAUGGGUUGUAAACUUCUUUUAUAUGGGAAUAAAAUGUUCCACGUGUGGGAUUUUGUAUGUACCCUAUGUAUAAGGAUCGGCUAACUCCGUGUCAGCAGCCGCGGUAAUACGGAUGAUCCGAGCGUUAUCCGGAUUUAUUGGUGUUAAAGGGAGCGUAGGUGGAUUGUUAAGUCAGUUGUGUAAGUUUGCGGCAAAACCGUGAAAUUGCAGUUGAAACUGGCAGUCUUGAGUACAGGAGAGGUGGGCGGAAUUCGUGGUGUAGCGGUGAAAUGCUUAGAUAUCACGAAGAACUCCGAUUGCGAAGGCAGCUCACUGGACUGCAACUGACGCUGAGGCUCGAAAGUGUGGGUAUCAAACAGGAUUAGAUACCCUUGUAGUC